GAGAGAACAGCAGAAGGAGAUCAGCUUGGAGUGUGGGUAUGCCUUUAAAUAAAUGCCCAUCAGAAGUCUGAAUGAAGUCCUGAGGGAAUCCAAGGUACCAACCCUCAGAUUGGUUCACCACAAACUGUAUCUGCCCAUGAAGCACAUGGGGUCGAAUCAGAGCUGCAGCUGCAGGCCAACACCACAGCCACAGCAAUGCCAUAUUGAAGCCACAUCUGUGAUCUGCAUCACAUCUUGCAGAAUGCUGGAUCCUUAACCCACUGAGUGAGGCCAGAGAUCAAACCUGCAUCCUCAUGGACACUAUGUCAGGUUCUUAACCUGCUAAGCCAUAAGGCGAACUCCAUACACUUUUAAUUUAAACAGCACUCUUGAAGACAUUUGUAUUCAUUAUAUACAAUCCUAUAGAAGAGUCAUGCAGAAAUUUUCAUCCACAAUUUCAGGAAGAAAAAAAUGGGGGGGCUGUUUUCUUCACACUUAAAACAAACAAACAAACAAACAAACAAACAAACAAACCCCCCCCUAUAUUGUGAAUGGUUCUGUGAGCAGAAGAGGAGAGAAUUUUUAGCCCAGUAUAUGAGAAAAUGCUAAAGGUCAUUCUUCAAGUACUAAUCAAGUUGUCUUUGAUCAUCCUGGGAGUGCUCUGUUUUUAAUAUACCUGUAGCAUUUUUUAUUGAUUGCCUUCAUUCUCAAUGCAUUGAAUUUUAUUAUUUGCUUUUUUAGGGAUAUGUGACUUAUUUAAAAUCCAAAUUGUUGGAGUGCCCAUAUAAUGAUUUUGACAGAGACUCUCAAAAAGUAUUUGUCAGCUCUUAUUAUUUCUUUAAUGUAGUCUCAUAAAUUUACCACUCAAAUGUUCUGUUCAAAUGGGGAAUUUCAUAUAUUAACUUUUUUUUUUUUUUUUUUUUUUGCCUUUUCAGGGCCACACCUGCGUCAUAUGGAAGUUUCCAGGCUAGGAGUGUAAUCAAAGAUACAGCUGCCAGUCUACACCACAGCCACAGCAACACAGGAUCAGAGUCAUGUCUGCAACCUACACCAUAGCUCCCAGCAAUGCCAAAUCCUUAACCCACUGAGUGAGGCCAGGGAUUGAACUUGCAUCCUCAUGGUUACUAGUUGGAUCGGUUACCACUGAGCCACAAAGGGAAUUCCAAUAUAUCAACAAUUUUUAAAGUUGCAAUACCAGAUGAGCAUGAAAUACCCUUAUAUUAACAGUGCAAUAGGGCUGUAAUCACUAGAUUAUACAGGAUCCUUAUACACAACCUGGUAAAAUUAUAGUAAUUUCUCCUGCAAAAUCCACUGAUAAUUAAAUUAAUUCCAAGAAUAACAAUGACUAAAGGUCAUUUUUCCUGGAUAACAGAGAAUCUAUAAGAGUCUAUAAGAGUCUUUAUUGUAGCAUUCUUUUGGAACAGUAAAACAAAAAAAUGCAUAAAAUAUAUGAAUAAAAAAAAGGCUUGCAAUCAAAAGAAAACCACACAAACAUAUAUACACAUGCAUUAAAAUAGGGGAUAGAUACAUAACUUAAGUCUAAACAUAAAUAAUGAAACACCAGGCAAGCAACUGAAAUAUGCAUAGCUUGAUCCCAUUUCAAUUUUAAAAGCUGCAGUAUACACAUUAGACAAAUAAACUUUGGAAAUGUAUACACAGAACACUUAUUGAUCUUUUUUUCUGGAGUCAGGGUUACAGGAUGCUGUCAUUUUUGAAAUUAUGGUCUUCAAUAUGGAUUUUGUUUUAGUAGAUGUCUUAGUUUGACAGGGCUGCCAUAACAAAGUACCACAUAUUGGCUGGUUUAACAAUAGAACAAUUAUGAAGGCUACAAGUCUAAGAUCAAGGCGUCUGCAGGGUCGGUUUCAUCCUAGGCCUCUUUCCUAGGCUUGUAGAUAGCUGUCUUUUCCAUUUGUCCCAACAAGACUUUCCCUCUGUGUGUGUCUGUUUCCUAAUUUCCUCUCUUUAUGAGGACACCAGUCAUAUCAGAUGAAAGCAUAUAGUAAUAACCUCACUUUAACUUAGUUACCCUUUACAGAUCCUUAUCCAAAUACACUCACAUUUUGAGGUUCUGAGGGUUAGGACUUAAACAUAUGAAUUUUGGAGCAACAAUUUUCAGUCCAUAACAGUACAUAAUACUAUAGUGAUUAAAUAAAAA
rnacentral:lncRNA from 1 species